CUGACUGAGGGCAGUAACAAUUUAACAAGUGGAGAAAGUCGAAAUAAUGUUUCUUCAUUGAAAAAUUGUACAUCAUGGAAUAUGCAUAACAAAUUUGAUUGCUUGCAGAGUUCACUUGAUCUUGGCCCUGAACUUCAGGAUUGGGGCAGUACUCAUGAAAGUCCAGUUGAUGAAUCGUUUCCAUUACCGUUGCCUGAUGGUGAUUCGUUUUGGGAAUGUAAAAG
rnacentral:misc_RNA from 1 species